AGAGUGCGUAAUAGCUCACUAGUCGAGAGGUCCUGCGCCGAAAAUGUCCGGGGCUAAAACACGACACCGAAGCUGUGGAUCCGAAAGGAUGGUAGAGGAGCAUUCUUAAGUCGACGAAGCUGUACUGUAAGGAGCAGUGGAGAGUUAAGAAGAGAGAAUGCCGGAAUGAGUAGCGAGAUUUAAGUGAGAAUCUUAAAGGCCGAAUAUCUAAGGUUUCCAGGGUAAAGCUGAUCUUCCCUGGGUAAGUCGGGGCCUAAGGCGAGGGCGAGAGCCGUAGUCGAUGGAUAACAGGUUGAAAUUCCUGUACUGCUUAUGGACAGAACUGUGGGGACGCAGAAGGAGAGCACGAGCCGGAAAUGGAAAAGCCGGUACAAGCGUAUAGCAGUCAUGCAGGCAAAACCGCAUGAAAAAUGUAAAGCGUUAUGUGGAUCGAACAUUAGUAGAGAAGCGUGUGAGCCAGCUGCCAAGAAAAGCCGCUAUUGUUUCAUAAGUACCCGUACCGUAAACCGACACAGGUGGAUGAGGAGAGAAUCCUAAGGCCGGCGGGAGAAGUGUUGUUAAGGAACUCGGCAAAAUGACUCCGUAACUUCGGGAGAAGGAGUGCCACAGAGAUGUGGCCGCAGAGAAAUGGCCCAAGCAACUGUUUAGCAAAAACACAGGUCUAUGCAAAACCGAAAGGUGAGGUAUAUGGGCUGACGCCUGCCCGGUGCUGGAAGGUUAAGAGGAGAGGUUAGCGCAAGCGAAGCUUUGAAUUUAAGCCCCAGUAAACGGCGGCCGUAACUAUAACGGUCCUAAGGUAGCGAAAUUCCUUGUCGGGUAAGUUCCGACCCGCACGAAAGGCGUAAUGAUUUGGGCACUGUCUCGACAAUGCACCCGGUGAAAUUGAAAUACCAGUGAAGAUGCUGGUUACCUGCGCCAGGACGGAAAGACCCCAUGGAGCUUUACUCCAGUUUGAUACUGGGAUUCGGUACUGUCUGUACAGGAUAGGUGGGAGGCUAGGAAAUGGUGACGCCAGUUGCCAUGGAGCCAACCUUGGGAUACCACCCUUACAGUACUGGGUUUCUAACCUGCAGCCGUAACCCGGCUGGGGGACAAUGUCUGACGGGGAGUUUGACUGGGGCGGUCGCCUCCGAAAGAGUAUCGGAGGCGCUCAAAGGUUCCCUCAGAACGGUUGGAAACCGUUCGAAGAGUGCAAAGGCAGAAGGGAGCUUGACUGCGACACCGACGGGUGGAGCAGGUACGAAAGUAGGACUUAGUGAUCCGGUGGUAUAAAGUGGGAUUGCCAUCGCUCAACGGAUAAAAGCUACCCUGGGGAUAACAGGCUUAUCACUCCCAAGAGUUCACAUCGACGGAGUGGUUUGGCACCUCGAUGUCGGCUCAUCGCAUCCUGGAGCUGUAGCAGGUUCCAAGGGUUGGGCUGUUCGCCCAUUAAAGCGGUACGCGAGCUGGGUUCAGAACGUCGUGAGACAGUUCGGUCCCUAUCCGGCGUGGGCGUAGGAUAUUUGAGAGGAGCUGUCCUUAGUACGAGAGGACCGGGAUGGACAAACCUCUGGUGUAUCUGUUGUUUUACCAAAGGCAUGGCAGAGUAGCCAAGUUUGGCAGGGAUAAACGCUGAAGGCAUCUAAGCGUGAAGCCCCCCUCAAGAUAAGAUAUCCCAUCUUCGGAGUAAGACCCCUUGAAGACUACAAGGUUGAUAGGCUUCAGGUGUAAGUGUGGUAACGCACUCAGCUGAGAAGUACUAAUAGGUCGAGGACUUAUCCU
rnacentral:rRNA from 1 species